rnacentral:rRNA from 1 species
UAGGGAAUCUUCGGCAAUGGACGAAAGUCUGACCGAGCAACGCCGCGUGAGUGAAGAAGGUUUUCGGAUCGUAAAACUCUGUUGUUAGAGAAGAACAAGGACGUUAGUAACUGAACGUCCCCUGACGGUAUCUAACCAGAAAGCCACGGCUAACUACGUGCCAGCAGCCGCGGUAAUACGUAGGUGGCAAGCGUUGUCCGGAUUUAUUGGGCGUAAAGCGAGCGCAGGCGGUUUCUUAAGUCUGAUGUGAAAGCCCCCGGCUCAACCGGGGAGGGUCAUUUGAAACUGGGAGACGUGAGUGCAGAAGAUGAGAGUGGAAUUCCAUGUGUAGCGGUGAAAUGCGUAGAUAUAUGGAGGAAACCCAGUGGCGAAGGCGGCUCGCUGGUCUGUAACUGACGCUGAGGCUCGAAAGCGUGGGGAGCAAACAUG